GUUCUAUCUAUUGCCUCUGUUAUUAUGGGUUACUUAUGUAUUGAGUUAAAAGAAUAUGUUAAUAAAAUUGUAAAGUUUUCAAAAUAAAAUAAUGUAGAAAUAAAAAUGUUAUUGUCUACAGUUUUUCACUGGUGAAGAUGUUAUAUAUUCCUCCUACUGUUAAUACUUGUGUCAUCCAAUUAUCCUCAGAGAGUUAUAUCUGUAUACUAUUUGCUGGCUUGAGCUUUGAACUGGUCCCUUGUAUGUUUUAUAGCUAUUGGUAGUCGUGUACGUUUGUUCUUCUUCCACUAAAUAGCCAUAGAGGUUUGUACUGUAUUUCUGCGGUCCUGAUCACACAUAUUACAUUAUCAUCUGAAUCUUCUGGAUCACUGAGGUGUUACAGUCUUCUUAGUCAGUUCAUCUAUGGAUGAUUUUUCUGGUGUCUUUUGUGUGUUAACCGGAGUUGAUGCUUGGUAUUUAGAUGGUGCUGCUACAAAUCUAAAGGAGUAGGUCCGAUAAGGGCCGAUUUUGGCCUCAAAUUUCAGGUUCAUCUAACGAAAGAUUUUGGACACUUUUUAAACGCCUUAGUGUCUAUUUCAAUUGAUUCACUUAAUAGUUUAUGUGAAAGAUUUUAACUGAUUUAGUCAUUAAAAACGCUCCGAUUCAAGCUUAAAUAUGAAAAAUCUAUCAAAUAUGCCAAAAACAUCACUUUUCAGAUGGUUUUUGUCAAAAUUGAAUGUGGCAGCAUCUGUGUUCAUUCUCAACCUUUAUAUAUGUUAUGAGUAUCAUCAAAUACAACUUUCAUUUCAAUAUUAUGGAUGAACACAAAUGCGGCCACUUCAUUUAAGACGGAAACCGUCUAAAAUUUAACUAAAAUGCUAAAAUUGUGAAGAUUUCAGUAAUUUAGCAUGACUUAAUGAUACUAGUACUCGAUAAAUGUGCAUUGUAUUGUCAAAAACAGCCCAGAUUUAUGUAGAAGCAUUCUACUUUUCCAGUAAAUAGCCAAAAGAUUACAUUUUCACAAUUUUGUAAAACUUCUAUAUUUUGGGGCCAAAAAAGGGGUCUUACUGAACCUACUCCUUCCUGUUUAGUGCGGGAUUCUACCGGUGGAAUCCAUUUGACUAUAGUGCCUGCUGUGGAUAUAGAUGUUGUCGUUUUCUCCAUGAAGUCUUGAGUGCAUGUAGCUGUUUUUUUAUGGUGUUUGGUUGUACAUAAUAUGUUUUUUGGCUGCAUAUUUCCUGGUGAAUUUUGCUAGGCAGUGAAGACAUUCAAAUAUUGUUCCUGUUGGUUUGUGAAAACUUCCGUGGUGACUUCAAUAAUCUUCUCAAACAUACACAAAUUUUGUGUGAAUUACAUUUUUUUUUUGUUAUAGUUAUCCCACACAAUCAUUUUAUGCAGCCACAGAAGAAGUUACCUGAAA
rnacentral:lncRNA from 1 species